ensembl:lncRNA
UCAUUUUAAAUAUAUUUUAUUCCAAAAUCUUCAAAAUAAGUUUCAAGUUCAAGAAAGUAGAAUAAGCUUAAACACAAUGCAAAGCAUCAUAUACAGACGGAUAAAGGAUAAAAUACAUUUUUAUAUAUUGCAGACAAGCCAUGGUGGGUCUUACAUAUUUACAAUAUGUAUGUAAACUUUUAUUUACAAUCUUUUUUACACUUAGAAAAAAGUUUUAUUUUCGUCAUUUUGUAUAUAUCUAUAUGAUAUAUCUAUAUAUGCAUAUAGAUAUAUUAUAUAUCUAUAUAGAUAGAUAUUUUUGUAUACUCCCCACUAGCAUUUGUACUACAAUAAUGAAAAAGAAAAACAUUUACAUAUAAUUUGAUCCAUUUUCUCUUUUUUUAUAUUACAAAUGUAUUCCCAUAAAAAUAUAUCUCUGUACAAAACCUUUUUUUUUUGUUCGUUCACAUGUACCGCUUCUCAGCGACUUGCCAGUUUUGCUCUCUGCAGUUUCGCUGUCUGCUCAGGUACACGUUUUUACUCUCUUACUGUCCAAGCAACGGUCUUAGGCAACAGAACAAAAAUAACAAACAAAAAUAACAAUAAAAUAGAGCAACAUUUUGCGACAUAGUAAUUCAGACAACAACCUUUCUCUCAUGUUGCUUGGUUUCCGGUGUCUGCUGUCAUGGGGCCACGGGCCUUUUUGCUCAUUUAAAUGGGAGAGAUUCACUGGACCAGCACAAUGCAUGCUCCCCACUGAAGGACAUAUGUCAUUUAGCGAUUGUACCAAAACUACACGCGUGACUGAACAUGGUUCGAAAAUGAAUCUGAGCUGUGAAAACAACUGACAUGGAUCGAAAUGAAGAAAGCAUGGGCCUAAUGUUGAGCGAGAACAAACAUGUCGGUGCAUGGAUAAACAUGCACAGAGAGAGCGACGCUGGAAGGUGGGCUGGGCAAUUCGAAGUGACAUCUGAACGAAAUGGCACUCAGUCUAACUGUAGAUCACAAGGAACUGAGGCCUCGUGUACUCUUAACCAUACAUGGUCUAUUCCGAACAUACAUUCAGUAUGCUCUUGGACUCUAUAGCAGUGAUUUAUCUACGCUGACUUGAUAUUUUUUGGAUGACUCCAGAGACACUUGAGCCAAAAAGAUUGAAGGACCUAUGAAGUGAAAGUCACCCGUCUGUGAAUUAUCGUUCCUAAAUCCUUGAGGAUGUCUCGGUCCUUCAUUUAAAGUUUUCGCCAACGUUCUCAAACCCUGAGGAAGCCAAAAUGGAAAACACUGACAUUAACUAUCGGGGAUUGACUAAAUUUGUUAUUGUAUUCCAAUUGUCCAAUUCCGCCUUGAAUCGUGUUGAUAUGAUUAAGCCGAGUUUGGAUAACUUUCUUUGGUACCUCUUGAGGAUGGGGAUGCAUAAUACAGGCCGCGUAAAAAUAAAACCCAGCUAAGCAGCAGCUGUUGACAAGCAUACAAAUGCCAACACAUAAAUCAUUUGCAGGGGCAGUGGACCGUUCUAAUGAGCCCAUCACUUAUUUAGGGAGCGGAACGGGAGCCGAGGAAAGAAUAUAACGGUAUAGGGACGUAGACAUCGAGCCCCACACGCUCCGCUAGUCUGCAGGACCAAGACCCCACAAUGCAGAGGGACCCGCAGGUUCCCAGGGCAGGUGUGGUGUCGUGGUGGGAUGUCCUGUUUGUUUGUAGGUGGCACAUAGUGGCAGCGUGACCAACAAAAGGAAGAUGAUUCCACUGCGUUAAAAUACUCCCCCUAGUGGGCAGGACCACUGGUAUUUUGAGAAUUAUGUUUGUGGAAAUACUCUUGUAUCUUUUACUUUUAUCUUUUACCGUAUACUAGGACCAUAAGGGGAAUGUUUUAUAGGUUCCAUCUAAACUUCUAGAUGUCUCUCUCUCAACAAUUUCAAUCAGUGUGUUAUUGACUAUGGGCUUUACUUUACCAAGGCACUGUUUUCAACGUAAAGCACUCGCUAGUGGAGAUGACGAGAAAUAAAAAAAAGCGAUUUCUUCGUUGAUACGAUUUUUGUGUGAAAUCUAACUUGAAAAGGGGGCUAAUGUGAUGCUCAGAGUCAGGGGUACAUUUUUGGGGGGGGUUAAAGGAUGUUCCCUUUUCAUGGAGAAAAAACAAACAAACCUAGGCCGACGUUCUCCCCGGACAUAUUUGAGACGGAAUAGCCGACAAUAAAGUUAAAAGAAGAAAUGUAUGACAAACGGCUGCUUGAAAUUAUGAGAAACACAAGCAGCGGCAAGAUAAUGCAAAAUGUCUUUCCGUGAAAUCUCCCAGGGUAAUUAAACUCGUGGCCUAUUCUCUUAAAUCAAUUUGCUCCUGGCAAACAGACGAGCUGAUACUGUAGACUCGCUGUCAAGAUAAGCCAGGGCAUCAUAAGUAAUACAACUGUUAAAGCAAUUACAAAGCCAGGGAGAAGAAAAUAACGUAGAUCGGUAGAACAAAAGGAGUGAUUUGUUACAAAUGCUAGGGCUUUAGGGGUCAAUUAUAGGCCCAGUGUGAAAACCGUCAUUACAAAGCAACGCAAGGGAGCUUGGUAUUUUCUUCCACUAUAUGAACGUACAUCAUGUACCGUAGCAUGGCCCAUCUCAAAUAUAUCAAAAUACGGGGCGAUUGUUUAGGGAGAGAGGCAGCUAUGGGAUUUUAUUCAGCAUUACUAAUUCGAUCAGACUAAUAGCAGGCCUUUGAAGUCAAGCAUGGCCUAACCGAUAUCUAUCCCUCAAAUGACGAAGGACAGAAUUAAAACAGGUCUCGUGAUGUGAGGUAACCAUCGAACCAGAGUGAAUAAUUGGAGCUAAUUGGAUGAGGAGGUGUCAUUUUUUGCCCGACAAUGUUCACGUCAUCGCCAUCAGCAUUCACGGCAGUAACCAUGGUAACUAAGCGUACAUAUAACACCUAUGUUGAUCCUGCUUGUCGCGCAGAUGUUGUCCGAGUUCGCUCUCUACAGCUGCCAUCCUUCACCGUAAUCCCGAUCCCUUUCGUGAGCAGAGAUGUGCAAAGAUCUGUAAAGCACGUGUUUUUUCCCCACACUCGUCUGCCGAAUAAUUUCCCUAUUGGCGCGUGUGUGGUAAGUAGUUGCAACACCAUUACCACCACAGCACCGAGGGAUCUGUGUGUUUUUAAUUGUUUAUUUAUUUUCCCCCAAGUUGAGACUAAACAAAGUGGGUCUCCAUUCCACUCACAUGGAUAUAUGGAUCUAUCCAAGGUCUUCCCGCAAUGCAAACCCCCACACACACCCCGAAAAAGACAAAAUCGAUGAGAUGUGUAGUGUGGCGACGUGACGUGAAUUAAAUCCAGCGGGACCUGUCUCAGUGGAAGUCACAAACUUUUCCACUCACGCUGUGUGGCUCCUCUUGCUUGACCAACUUUGAACUUUUUUUUCAAGGCUGUGAGCAAACCUUUUCAAUUUUUAAGCUUUGUUUAGGG